rnacentral:lncRNA from 1 species
GCACAUGUCAUACUUUUAAUAUUUCAAUCAUCAUGCAACAAAUUUCCUCUUUUAGCAGCCUACCAGUAUCCAUGGGGAUCCAUAGGAGUCCCCGCUACACGUGAACCAUUCACCUUAAUAACUUAACUCCAGGGCCGUUCCCAUACCCCGUCCGGUAUAGGCACCAAAAUCAUAAACCUCAAUACUCCGUCCGGUAUGAGGGUGAAGCGGGCCGUCCCCAUACCCCGUCCGGUAUGAGCGCCAAAACAUUUAAAGUCUCCAUACCCCGUCCGGUAUGAGAGACAACAUUUCUGGUAGGGUUCCCUAUGGACCCGGUCCGUCCACCAUCUCCCCGGAUAUCUAGUGAGGCUGUCGACUUAUCCAUUUAUCAAUUCACAUACAUUUUCUAUUCUUUUCUUAGUUUUCUGUUUCU